rnacentral:rRNA from 1 species
UACGUAGGGUGCGAGCGUUAAUCGGAAUUACUGGGCGUAAAGCGUGCGCAGGCGGUUUGCUAAGUCGAGUGUGAAAUCCCCCGGCUCAACCGGGGAAUUGCGCUCGAUACUGGCGGGCUAGAGGUCGAUAGGGGUGAGCGGAGCUCCAGGUGGAGCGGUGAAAUGCGUAGAUAUCUGGAGGAACACCGGUGGCGAAAGCGGCUCACUGGAUCGAAACUGACACUGAGGUGCGAAAGCUAGGGUAGCAAACGGG